rnacentral:rRNA from 1 species
AGGGAAUAUUGGGCAAUGGCCGAGAGGCUGACCCAGCCAUGCCGCGUGCAGGAAGAAGGCCUUAUGGGUUGUAAACUGCUUUUAGCCGGGGCUAACGCUCUCCUUGCGAGGGGAGGUGAAGGUACCGGCGGAAUAAGGAUCGGCUAACUCCGUGCCAGCAGCCGCGGUAAUACGGAGGAUCCGAGCGUUAUCCGGAUUCAUUGGGUUUAAAGGGUGCGCAGGCGGGGCUUUAAGUCCGCGGUGAAAGGCAUGGGCUCAACCCGUGCACUGCCAUGGAUACUGGAGUCCUAGAUCAUGGACGGCGUGGGCGGAAUAUGUCAAGUAGCGGUGAAAUGCGUAGAUAUGACAUAGAACACCGAUCGGGAAGCCAGCUUACGAAACUACGAAUGACGCUCAUGCACGAAAGCGUGGGGAUCAAACAGG